GGUCAAUCAACAAUCUCGACAACUAAUAAUGGGUAGUGGUCGCCUUGAUAAAGCAAUAUCAUGGACAAUUAUUAAGUGCCUGGAAUAACAUGACAAAGCUAGGGAUUAUGGGUACACUAUCAUGAGAUAUAUGAAGGACAUAAUUCAACAUGCUCCUGUCGGGACUCUUCCAGAAAAUUACUACGAGGACGCAUAUUGCGACACAUUUACUAAGGCUCAAAUGGAAGAAGUCCUUGAAGAGCUAGCAUGUGGCAUUUUUCAAGCGUGGUUUAGCUAUAACAACUAGCAACAGUAAAGAAAUAG